rfam:Candidatus Entotheonella sp. TSY1 genomic scaffold TSY1_scaffold00104, whole genome shotgun sequence.
GGAGAGGUGCGAGAGCGGUUGAAUCGGCGCGCCUGGAGAGCGCGUGGACGCCAAAAGUGUCCCGUGGGUUCGAAUCCCACCCUCUCCG